rfam:Podospora anserina genomic DNA, chromosome 3.
GGUUGUGUAGUGUAGCGGUUAUCACUCCGGAUUCUGAUAGCAUCGGACAAUUCCGGCAACCCCGGUUCGAUUCCGGGCACGACCU